UACAGAGACCUCAAGCGUUAUCCGGAAUCAUUGGGCGUAAAGCGUACCGAUAGGUGGUUUUACAAGUCAGAAGUGAAAUCUCUCAGCUUAACUGGGAGACUGUCUUUUGAAACUGUAAAACUAGAAGGGCAAAGAGGAAGCUGGAACAAACGGUGUAGUAGUGAAAUGCGUUGAUAUCGUUUGGAACACCAAUAGCGUAGGCAGGCUUCUGGGUGCCACUUGACACUGCUAGGACGAAAGCGUGGGGAGCGAUAAGG
rnacentral:rRNA from 1 species